CCCAUCCUGCAAACUCGUUUGCAAACUCUUCCCACGAUAGGCUGUCCAACCUCGGGCUCACAUAAUUCUUAAACCACUCAUGGGCCUUUUUGCAUUUUAAUGUGAACCCAGCCAUCUGAAUGGCUCUACUGUCAUCUGCCCCUAUCUCAUCUGUAAUCGUUUUGACCCUCUCAAGGUACACAAACGGGUCAUCUCCGAUUUCAAACUGGGGAGCACCCAGCUUCAUAUAGUC
rnacentral:lncRNA from 1 species